CUCUUCCCACAGUCCCUGCUUCAGCUCCUGCCACCAAGUUUCUGCCCUGCAUGUGUUCUACUCUUUCUCACCCACUGUCCUUGCCUUGCGGAACUGUCUCAGACUUGACCUGAAAGAUCCUUCUGAGUCAGGCAGUGAGAGCCUGGUCCUCACUGCUCCGUGCAGAAGCAAAUAGAAAGCUUCUGGGGACCACAGUCCCUGUGUCCCCAUCAACUGCAGCACACACCCAGCGGGGUGAUCACCGUCGGUUCUCUUGUCUGCCCUGCAGUCACCCUGGGAGUCUUAAGAAAGGGCUCUGCCUCAUUCACCAACCCUUACCCAGUGCCCAGCUCUGGCCUGCACACAGGGCUGCUCUGUAAACCCCUCUGGUGAGGAACUCAGCCGGUCAAUUCCCACCCGAGGCGGAGUAAAGAAGCUGCAAAUAAACGCUGUGUUAGGAAAGAGCACAGCAACUCCGCCUUGAUAUCAAGCUAACAUGCAAAACUGGGCCCAAGUCUGAGCUCUAAGAAAGACUUUGGUUUCGAACUUCAAAGACCAGCCAGAACUCUGGUGAGCGAGAUACACGGUUUCUUUGAAAGUCGCUCUCAUGAACAAAUGAAGGAGAGAAGCUAAGUCGUGGCUGAAGAUCUGAGAAGUGCCAGCUUCCACCUGGGUACCUCACACACUGCCUCUCCACGAGCUUUGAAGAACGUGGGAUACACCGGCCUUAUGGGAAUUGAAAGAGCAUAGGGUAAGGACCACAGAGAAGAAGGCAGGCUGGAAGUCGGGGCACCUGUCUGCAGGGCUUCCUUCUCACUGAGCCUCACAGCUUAUCCUAGGCAAGGAGAGGCAGGAGUGGGCUUUGAAUAAAUCAUUUCCCCAUGUGCAACUUCCAGGACAGAUACUGCCUGAGAGCCUGCACAAUAGGAACCACUCUGGUUGCUCACUCUGGUUGCUCUGUGCAGGCAGGGCAUUGGGAACUAGUGGGCCCAGACCCUGCAUUUCACAAUGACUAGUACACUGAAUUCUCGUACUUCCUAAGUGGAUUAGGCGACGGCUAAGAGUCAGAGACACCCAAGUCCUGAGUCCAACCAAACCCUCUGAUUCGGCUUCCCUGCUCAGGCUGACAGGUCUCCAGUGGUCUCGGGACACAGGCCAGCCGUCCAGUAGUGUGCCCAACAUGUUAAAUGCUGGUUUCCUGGGCUCUCUGCCACUCUCAUCUCAGAGCUCUUGGGGCCUGAGAAUGAGAGACAAGUAACAGAAAGAUGAACGGAGAAGGACAGAUACAACGGAUGCGCUAUUUAUUUCCUGGGACCUUGGUUCUGUUGUACCUUGUUAAUCCUACGCCGUGGGUUGAAUUGAUGCUUUACAAGCCCACAAUAUAUAGUUUUAUGAGCCCAUAAAAAUCUUCGGAGUGGAAUCAAA